UACGGAGGAUCCAAGCGUUAUCCGGAUUUAUUGGGUUUAAAGGGUGCGUAGGUGGCCUGUUAAGUCAGGGGUGAAAGACGGUAGCUCAACUAUCGCAGUGCCUUGAUACUGACGGGCUUGAAUAGACUAGAGGUGGGCGGAAUGUGACAAAUAGCGGUGAAAUGCAUAGAUAUGUCACAGAACACCGAUUGCGAAGGCAGCUCACUAUGGUCUGAUUGACGCUGAGGCACGAAAGCGUGGGGAUCAAACAGG
rnacentral:rRNA from 1 species